CCUACGGGGGGCAGCGGGUUGGAUGCCCGGUUCGAUUUUGACUUGCCGGCUUUUGCGGAAGAGUACAACUUCCCCUCUGUUACCGUGUUCAACUGUCUCAAAUUCCUUGAAAAAGAGGGUUAUAUCAUGUUGACUGAAGCCCUUUUCAAUCCUUCACGGGUACAUAUUAAGACCGACAAGGAGACCCUUUAUCGCUUUCAGGUCAGUCAUGCAGCCCUCGACCACCUCAUAAAGACCAUGCUCCGCUCUUACAGUGGAAUCUUAUCAGAUUUUGUCAGGAUCAAUGAAUCUGAAAUCGCCCGCAGAGCCGAUAUCCCGAUCGAACAGGUGAAGGCUGGGCUGGAACGAUUAUCCCAUCGCCAACUUUUGGAUUACCUGCCGCAAAAUGACAAGCCCCAGUUGGUUUACCUGCAGGAAAGGGUUGAUACCCUAGUAGUC
rnacentral:rRNA from 1 species